CCAGAAGCUGGAAAAAGAGAGCAAACAGGCCUGAAAGUUGCAUUGGACGGGUCAGAAAACACAAUAUCCAGGUGGAAGCAACAUCACAAAACUGCAAGAAGCCGAGAAACUGCCUGGCCCAGCAGGGUGUACAGGACAGAGAGAAGGAAGGGAAAAGGCAGACAGAGUAAGAAUUGGGUGGCGAAAGCCCAGAAGUUCUCCCUGGCAAGAAGAGGAAAAUACCACCUGCAAAGGACCUGCAAGCCUGAGUCUUGAAAAGGAAGACAGCUCCUCAUCCAGAACUUAGCCCAAAAGUCAGCCUUGGUGUGCUGAAGCUUGAAAAGCAAGAUGUGGGAUUUUGAGAUACUGCUUGUCCCAACAAGAUGAAACUCAGCAGUCUUUGGAUGGCUUAGGGAUUGGAGCAUCCCAGUUAACCUUUGAAAUAGAACUGAAAAAAAAAUUCAACUCGGUGUAAAUCUGGGUAAAAAAUUCAUCUGGAGUCAGCCUCAUAUUUCCAAACAGUGUAUCCAGAGUUCAUAAACUCAUGCCCGUGCAGCAAAUCCAACGAGAAACUACACAGUUCAGCAGAGACUGCAGAGAUAUGCAAUGCCGCAGCUGGAGCCAAGUUAUGAAUGAGUGGGUGCACUAUCAAGCAGAUAUAAAAGCUCAAGUUCUGCAAGCACUAAAAUACAUCACCUGCUUUUCAUCAGGAUUAGUUAUCCCAAGAAAAGUGCUGAUUCAGUUGCCCUCAUUCUAGAGCCAGCUGGGACCUCUCUCUGACAGCGCCUCCCAGCUUUUCAUACCUGCAGCAUACCUUUUCCAGAUUAAAAGCAGCGGUGCACAGCAGACCUUUGAGAUGAUCCCACCCACCGUGGGCUAGCAGCAGCCCCAUGUGGCUCUCUGGGAGAUCCUUGUGUCCUCCAGCACCGCAGGGCUCUUGCUUCUGCCCAGUGCUUGAGCUUGGCUGUGGUGGGCACACCUGCCAUGGGACACUCGGGUGCCACUGCCCAUACCUGGGAAUCUCUGUUCUCUGGUACUGCGUUAUGAAGAUGCCUAAAAAUGUCAUUCCUGGCUCAGAAAUUCUGCGUACAGCACUAAGAACUGGCAACCAACUCCCAGUCUCAGGCUCCCCAUCCACUCUUCUCUCUUCCCUCACCCUGUACCAGUCUCAGCAGACCCCUCCUUGUAACCCUUCCUGCUCAUCUGCUUUGCCCUGCUUUUCCUCGUCUCUGGCUUGCCAUGGGUUGCUCCCUCCUUCAGGCUGCCUGGGUUGCAGCAGAGGCCCACAGCAGCCCAGGAGAGGCAGCUCUCUGCUCUGGCGCAAGCCAUGUCCACAGCUACAAAAUGUUCAGUUUGCACCACUACACCCCUGAGCUGGCGUGUGCCCAGUGCUUUUGGGAUGGACGCAUGUGAAGGUACCGCUGGGAAGUGUUUAACUGGGCUUCAGCACAGUGCGACAGGUGCUUUGGAGAGCUGAGCUCUGAAACUCUGCAUAAUUUCAACUGGACACAUGGAAUCAGCAACCACUCUUCUAACACAGCUGAAUAUGGGUGGACAUUCACCCAAACCUGGUGGAUAUUCAGGCUCAAAAAAAAAAAGCGGGUAGAGGGGAGGUAAAGGGGAAAAAAGCAAAAAAAAGAAAAUAUUAAAGAAUUAAUGUAAUGCAACUAACAAAGCAACUUCAAUACUUUAAUUUCUUCUAGUAGGAGCACCCGCUGACAGAAAACACCAUGUACAACACUAAAAAAAAAAUGGAAGUUAUUAAUUUAAACCAGGUCAAGUGUGCUAGGCAACAAGGCGAACUGAUUAAAAAGUAACUCCUGCACCAAAGCUAUAGCGAAAAUACCAAGCACAUCAGUGUUCAUUAGUGUCCUGAGCGUGAGGCGCACAAGGCACAACUUCCACAGACUUUCUGUUUGUUCAACAGGCCCAUGCAGAGCUCUUUCCCUGACAGACAGGUACACUUUUUAGUAAAAUCCGGAUGAAAUCAACAGACUGCUUUUGUUUUGCAUCUCUUGCUUCCUUGAGCUACUGACAUUUCAUUCAGACAAUCGAGGGUCUGAUAAUAAAAUUCAUAUAUAUGCACGGGUUA